CAUGUCCAUACGACGAGGAUAACGGCUGGAAACGGCUGCUAAGACUGGAUAGGAAUAUAAAAGGCAUCUUUAAUAUUUUAAAGGACCUAAGGGUAUGCGUAUGGGGUGACUUGCGGCGCAUUAGCUAGUUGGUGGGGUAGAAGCCUACCAAGGCGAUGAUGCGUAGCCGGACUGAGAGGUUGAACGGCCACAUUGGGACUGAGACACGGCCCAGACUCCUACGGGAGGCAGCAGUAGGGAAUUUUCGGCAAUGGGGGGAACCCUGACCGAGCAAUGCCGCGUGAAUGAAGAAAUACUUAGGUAUGUAAAGUUCUUUUAUUGGGGAAGAAUGUUUUGUGUAGAACAAGAGUGACGGUACCCAUUGAAUAAGCCCCGGCUAACUAUGUGCCAGCAGCCGCGGUAAUACAUAGGGGGCAAGCGUUAUCCGGAAUUAUUGGGCAUAAAGGGUGCGUAGGCGGCAUGUUAAGUUUAAGGUAUAAGCUCAUGGCUCAACCAUGGGAGGCUUUAAAAACUGGCAUGCUAAAGUGCAGUAAAGGCAAGUGGAAUUCCAUGUGUAGCGGUAAAAUGCGUAAAUAUAUGGAGGAACACCAGUGGCGAAGGCGGGUUGCUG
rnacentral:rRNA from 1 species